rnacentral:rRNA from 1 species
UACGAAGGGGGCUAGCGUUGCUCGGAAUUACUGGGCGUAAAGGGCGCGUAGGCGGAUAUUUAAGUUAGAGGUGAAAGCCCAGGGCUCAACCCUGGAAUAGCCUUUAAUACUGGAUAUCUUGAGUUCGGGAGAGGUGAGUGGAACUCCGAGUGUAGAGGUGAAAUUCGUAGAUAUUCGGAAGAACACCAGUGGCGAAGGCGACUCACUGGCCCGAUACUGACGCUGAGGCGCGAAAGCCAGGGGAGCAAACGGG